UCCUGCUUAUCACAGGCAGUCUGGCUAGAGUGCCUCCUUGCGGAUGGCAACUAACCACAGGGGUUGCGCUCGUUGCAGGACUUAACCUAACACCUCACGGCACGAGCUGACGACAGCCAUGCAGCACCUGUUCCGUCCUUCUUGCGAAUUUCCCCGAUUUCUCGGGAAUAGGACGACGGAAUGUCAAGUCCAGGUAAGGUUCUUCGCGUUGCAUCGAAUUAAGCCACAUGCUCCACCGCUUGUGCGGGCCCCCGUCAAUUUCUUUGAGUUUUAGCCUUGCGGCCGUACUCCCCAGGCGGUGCACUUAUCGCGUUAGCUACGACACGGAAGGGGAUAAUUCCUCCCACGUCAAGUGCACACCGUUUACGGCUAGGACUAC
rnacentral:misc_RNA from 1 species